AGGACACAGCUAGGUUGUAUCCAGACUCCUGACCCACAGGGAUGAGGCUGCAGAAACCUGUGCUGUUUUAAGCUGUUAGCUGUGUGGUAACCCCUUACACAGCAAUAAACACUUAACAUAACUCAGGUAAUCUCUACUUUAACAGUGGGUACUACUAGUCAUACAUGUUUGGGAAACAGGCCCCACAUCCAUCCUCUUCACAGCUCUCUUCAAUGCCAGAGAGAAGUAAUGCCUGGUACCUAAUAUCCAAUCAGUUGUUUGCUGAGUAAACAAUUAUAUUAAAGACUACAGAGCAUCUACUACAACUGAUCUGCAUUCUCAACACCAGGAAGAUGUGAGAAACAGCAAACACACCCAUGAAAAAGUCAGAGAUGCCUAAGAAGUGCAACUGAGAAAUAAUUCCUCACCUGGUCACGGCGUCCACCAAGAACGGCGCUGGGGGCGAGAUGAGCUCUCUGCUACCCAGCCCUUCCUUCCCCGUCAGGGAAAACCCAUUUCCUGCAAGCCCAUUAGGAAGGACAGUGCUCUGCUGAGAAAGACACACAACACGUCUGAGAGGAGGUGAUCACACCUCCCUGACAACCAGCACUUCAGCUCCAAGCCAUCUUCUCCAACAAUUAUGCGUCUUUACCUGAGGUGUGGUUGUGUGGUCAAGGAGAUUCUCAGUGAGAGACAACAGCAAGGCAUCCAGUUCAUCUGCAGCAUCCUGUGGGAGACAAGACACACAGAUGUUAAGUGACCCACCGAUCACCAGACAGGUUUUUCCACAUCCUCGUAGUGUAUAAUUUGGACCCAUGCCUGGUUGGUGUUAAUCCUGAAACAAAUGGGGACAUUCAGGAGCCAUAGUUAUCAGUGAUUUCACUCGUGUUGGAGGGAACCUAGCCUACAGUCAGAACUUCAAAACACUCAAGGGUUUUGUGAAUUUUCUUACAGUUAUUCCUUCUGGUAAGACGAAGACUUGGGUAGGGUUUAGGACUAUCCUGGCUCUCAGCUCUUGAACUAGAGACGAGAGGUAAGAGGUUCAGCCAGCAAGAAGCCAGCACGUAAGGAGAGGCCUGAACUCCCAGCGCUUCUUCAUUCACAUGUGUGGGUGCUCCAAUGUUCACAAAGGAGUAUAAUGUAAAUUUCCCCCAUAAACAUUAUUUAAUGCUUUUGUCUAAUCAAUAUUUGAAGCACCUUAUACAAACAGAGUUCUGUAUAGCAGUGUGUGUAUAUGUGUUGGGGGGAUGCAUAGGAAGAAUGUUAAAAGGAUAAAAGAUGGAACUCCAAUCUGGAAAUAAGAGCAGUAAGUACCCAGGGUGUACCCUUUAUUUAUACAUUUCUGUCUGUCUGUCCUCAGGCCAUGGUACAUCUCCAGUUCAGUGUUAACUGAAUUUUAGUCCCACGUAUGAAGUAACUGUCUGCUCCCUUCUCUCCUCUCCCUCCUCCUUACCCUGUGGGACCUGAUGAGCCCCGAAAGAGCCUGUGCAUAUCUCCACCACACAUAUUAAAAUUCUCUCUCCGACUGUACUACAAAGCAGCUUGAAAGAAGAGGCCAUGUCUCAGUCAUUUUUUAAUUUUCAAAGCCUAGCAUGCUAUCCUGGUACACAAUAUGCAAUAAAUUUGGGGGAUAAAUGUCCUUCUCUGUUCCAAAACACGUCUGAGGUUCCACCUAAUGAUUUUCAAUGAUCAAACAUGUCAAUAUAUCAUUUAAGGAUUUUAAUUAGCAGAAAGGAAUCUCUGGAUUGAAAAUAUUUUAGGUUCCUUUUUUAAAACCCCAAAGUUUUUUUGACUAGUGGGAAUACAGGUAAUUGCUAAUGUUUUUCUUUUUAUAAAAUAUUUGGUAAAUUUCUAUGAUAAAUGUGCUUUUGCAAUACAAGUACAAAUGGUAACUGUUCCUUUACAAAACUAAUUUGUUGUUUAAAUAGCAAAUUAAAACAUUCCCAGGGCAAUGAACUGAGUUUCCAUGAUUUCUGAACUGGUAUGGGUGUGUGGGGCUUCCCAGGUGACUCAGGGGUAAAGAAUCCACCUGCAAUGUAGGAGAGGCAGGUUCAGUCCUUGGGUCAGAAAGAUCCCUUGGAGAAGGAAAUGGGAAAGCACUCCAGUUUUCUUGCCUAAAAAAUCCCAUGGACAGAGGAGCCUGAUGGGCGACAGUUCAUGGGGUUGCAAAAAGACUCCGACACAAGUUAGCAACUAAACAACAAUGGGUGUGUGACAAGUGGAUACAAGAAAGGUAGGAUUUGAGAUAAGCUGGUUAUAAUACAACACAAUUUCAGAAUGUUACUUUUGAUCAAUCAAUACUUAUUUACUGCCUACCAUGUGCAGUGUUCUGUUUCAAACACUAGGGAAGUAGAGUCAGCAUACAGAAACCAAAAAUAAGAGAUCAUCUAAAAAAACAAAAUGACAACAAAUAACUCAAAAAUGGAGAAGAAACCCUGAGCUACUCUUGGGUUUGACAAUAGGAUUCUCCCCAGAGAAGCGAGGUUCAGUGCUUUUUUCAUAGCUUAAGUUCUGGUGUCCAUCAGAACUCACCAGAUGUCCCAUAUAACCAAGAUUCAACUCAGUAGAAUGUGAGGAGAAACCGUAAAAAGUGGCAGUAAU